UUACUUUGUGGUUGACAAUUAGCUGCAUAGAUGUUGUUUUAUCUUGAUUGGAUUUUGUCUUUAUUUGACUUGCUAAGUGUAUUUAAUUGAAAUUAGUCAGUAGUAACACUGUGGCCCUGUUUAGUUUGCGUAGUUUAUCCAUCAUACCAACAUACUUUAGUUCCAUCAUACUUUUUUGCUACCUUCAUACGCUUAACAUUCACAAUGACAUGUUUAUUGAUAUUUGAUUUUCUAUAUGUGCUCUGUUCAAUGUGCAUGCUGUAAUUUUCUAACAUUACUCUGUUUUUUUUUUUUUUUUUUCUUUUAUGUUGUGAAAGAUCAUAUGUCUUUCUCAUACAGGAAAGCAGAAAAUGACAUCUUAAUAUGAUGUGUUGGGAGGCCAUUUUUUUUCUUGUUGCUGAAAUCCGAGCUGACAUAGAAUAUUUGAAGUCUGUGAUUCAGGUUCGCACUGGAUGUUUAAGCUCUAUGAUUUACUCAACCGUGCAAUUCCAAAUCAUACAGCUUUGUCAUCAAAUUAUUUGCAAAAUCUAUAUGGAUCCAAAUUCCAGGUUAAAGGAGCUGGGACAGAAAAAAAAAACUUGUCUGACCACUAAUGGUUAUCAUUGGAUCGAAAUUCUUAUGGAACAGAAACUUGGCUGCUUAUAGACCUACAGGCUGAUUGAAUCAAAGUAUUACGUGGAAUAGCCUUGGUUGCUAGCAGAAGUAUAGACAGGAAGAUAACUAUAAGAGAAUGCAGCCAUUUUUUGAUGCCCAAAUUGCAAAGUUUGAGCAAGGUGUGUCCAAAAUAAAGUACCUUUCCGACUAUAUACUGCUUUUUCUUGCAGAACUGGGAAAUACUGUUGCAAGUUCAACCCAUGUAUUUUUAAGUGAAGUUGUCAAGAUAAUAUCUUAUACUGUACUUUCAUUCAUGAGACAUUUUCAGAAAAGCUUUUGGUUUCAAGGUGGAUAAACUAGUUGUACUGUACUCAAUUAUCCUUAC